GACGAACGCUGGCGGCGUGCUUAACACAUGCAAGUCGAACGGAAAGGCCCUGCUUUUGUGGGGUGCUCGAGUGGCGAACGGGUGAGUAACACGUGAGUAACCUGCCCUUGACUUUGGGAUAACUUCAGGAAACUGGGGCUAAUACCGGAUAGGAGCUCCUGCUGCAUGGUGGGGGUUGGAAAGUUUCGGCGGUUGGGGAUGGACUCGCGGCUUAUCAGCUUGUUGGUGGGGUAGUGGCUUACCAAGGCUUUGACGGGUAGCCGGCCUGAGAGGGUGACCGGCCACAUUGGGACUGGGAUGCGGCACAGACUCCUACGGGAGGGAGCAGUGGGGAAUAUUGCACAAUGGGCGGAAGCCUGAUGCAGCAACGCCGCGUGCGGGAUGACGGCCUUCGGGUUGUAAACCGCUUUCGCCUGUGACGAAGCGUGAGUGACGGUAAUGGGUAAAGAAGCACCGGCUAACUACGUG
rnacentral:rRNA from 1 species